AACAUGGGAACUAUAACAAAAAAAGUGGUUGAAACUUCAACAUCUUCCAUCUUCAUUUACUGCUUUUAGUGCCCUUGCCAGCUACCUUCUUGCCCUUUCUACCAACUGGUUGAAACUUUCUGCCUUUAAACCCCCUAGCAGCACCACUACCACUUCCUUGACUUGGUACACCACUAGUGCCCACAGAUGCACUUGGUUGCAUAACCAAAAUCCAAUAGUUAGCAAGAUGUUCCAACAAUAGCAAGUAAGAGGAAAAAAAUAAAUAAAAUAGAAGAAAGCAGAGGUGCCUGAGAUGGUAAAGAAUCCCAUGUCUCUCUAGGGGUAUGGAAACUUGGUUGUGAGGAAGAAGAGAACCAGUUGGCCCUAGAUCUAGUUGGAGGUUGAGUUGCUGCCUCAGAUCUAUUGUUUGGUGCAGGUUGAGAUGCAGUUUGACCAAAAGCUCUGUAUGUAGGCUGAGAUCUAGUACUUGGUGGCUGAGAUGCAGUUUGAGGUGUUGCAAUUUGCUUUGUUUUUGUAAAUUUACUACCUUGUGCCUACAAAGAGGGUAGUACAAGUUACAUACACAUGAAAUACUUGAGGAAAUGAAUAUAGUUCAAAGCAUGGAAAUACUUACAGCUUUUGAUUUAGCAAGUCCAUCUCUUCUUUGUGAUGGAGUUUCACCAAUGAUGCCUACCUUGCACCCUCUUGCAUUAUGUUCUUCUUUCUUGCACUUCCUACACUUGAUUGUCUUGUUCAUCCUAGAAACUCUAUAAGGGUUCCUUGGCUCUUCAGGAUCUCUUUUUCUUUGCUUUAGUGGUUUGCCAGGUGAUUUAUACACAUGAGGAGCAACAUGAUCAGGUUGGUUAGUCUCAACCCACUCAGACUGGCCAAACAUUGGCUGUAUUAUCUCUUUGUAAGUUUUAGCAAAUGUCUCUUUCAAGUAACAAGGAUGCAUAUAGUCCUACACUUUCUCCAGGUUCUUAACAAUAGUAGAGAUCCCAUGUUGGCAAGGAAGUCUUGUCAAAUCCCAAAUCCUACAGCUGCAUGCUUUCUUAGCCAAGUCAACCACAUGUCUCUCACAACCAUUAUCAACCUCAUACUUGAAGUUGCCUGCCAAAGUAGCAUUAAAAGUUCCAUCAUCACAUUGGGCAUUACUAAUAUCACAUAUGACCGUUAUGUGGGCGAGGAUCUUUUAUCCCAUUUAAAUGAACUGCCAAGAUGAUUUCCAAGGAUACACCUUAGACCUCGAGGACGAGCACUGGAUAACCACAGGAAGAGCACCAGCUGACCUUGGGGACGAGUAGUAACCAUGAUAAAUGCAUAAAGUUAGAAUAUCACUAAAGGAAGAAAGUAGACUUGGCAUAGGUUAUGAGGAGGAUGAAAGGAGAAGGGUGUAGAAGCUAUCCACUCCGCAUUAAAUGUAAGACAAAUACUCAUCUGGCCGCAUUAAUGAGGAAAUGACCAUGAAUAGUGAUGGCACAGCUCAGAUUGCAAGGCAGGAGCUUACUAGUACAUUCCAAAUGAGACAGAAGACUUGGAAAUACAAUCUCAGUUCUCUAGAUGUGGGACUAGGAUAAUCUAUGUGUAAAUAUAAAAGGAAAAUGAAGAUCCUUAUGUAGGGGAUCGAGGAAAAGAGAGAGAGAAAAGCUUGGUAACCAAGAAUAGAAGUACUUGUUAAAAAGAGAAAGUAAUACACAUAUAUAAAACAGACACUCCUCGGGCUUGAUCGAGGAUCAUUUUUUCUUCAUAA